UACGGAGGGCGCAAGCGUUGUUCGGAAUCAUUGGGCGUAAAGGGCGUGUAGGCGGUCUGUUAAGUCAUGUGUGAAAUCCCUCGGCUCAACCGGGGAACGACGCAUGAAACUGACAAGCUAGAGUACCAAAGAGGGGGGUGGAAUUCCCGGUGUAGCGGUGAAAUGCGUAGAUAUCCGGAGGAACACCGGUGGCGAAGGCGGCUUCCUGGACCGACACUGACGCUGAGGCGCGAAAGCUAGGGGAGCAAACGGG
rnacentral:rRNA from 1 species